rnacentral:rRNA from 1 species
AACGCGAAGAACCUUACCAAGGUUUGACAUGCAGGGAAAAGCCGUAGAGAUACGGUGUCCGUAAGGGUCCUGCACAGGUGGUGCAUGGCUGUCGUCAGCUCGUGUCGUGAGAUGUUGGGUUAAGUCCCGCAACGAGCGCAACCCUCGUCCUAUGUUGCCAGCGGGUAAUGCCGGGGACUCAUAGGAGACUGCCGGGGUCAACUCGGAGGAAGGUGGGGAUGACGUCAAGUCCUCAUGCCCCUUAUGUCUUGGGCUGCAAACAUGCUACAAUGGCCGGUACAAAGGGUUGCGAGACCGCAAGGUGGAGCGAAUCCCAAAAAGCCGGUCUCAGUUCGGAUUGGGGUCUGCAACUCGACCCCAUGAAGUCGGAGUCGCUAGUAAUCGCGAAUCAGCAACGUCGCGGUGAAUACGUUCCCGGGCCUUGUA